GAUGAACGCUGGCGGCGUGCUUAACACAUGCAAGUCGAACGGGAUCCAAGGGGUGCUUGCACUUUUUGGCGAGAGUGGCGAACGGGUGAGUAACACGUGAGUAACCUGUCCUUUUCUUUGGGAUAAGCAUUCGAAAGGGUGUUUAAUACCUUAUGUUCUGUCUGCCUCGCAUGGGGUGGGUGGGAAAGGCUUUGGCCGGAUUUGGGUGGGCUCGCGGUCUAUCAGCUUGUUGGUGGGGUGAUGGCUUACCAAGGCUUUGACGGGUAGCCGGCCUGAGAGGGUGGUCGGUCACAUUGGGACUGAGAUCCGGCCCAGACUCCUGCGGGAGGCAGCAGUGGGGGAUAUUGCACAAUGGGCGAAAGCCUGAUGCAGCGACGCCGCGUGGGGGAUGAAGGCCUUCGGGUUGUAAACUUCUGUUGCUCUGAACAAGGCAUGCCAGUGGGUGUGUUGAGUGUAGGGGUUGAUUAGCGCCGGCUAACUACGUG
rnacentral:rRNA from 1 species